rnacentral:rRNA from 1 species
UACGUAGGUGGCAAGCGUUAUCCGGAAUUAUUGGGCGUAAAGAGCGCGCAGGUGGUUGAUUAAGUCUGAUAUGAAAGCCCACGGCUUAACCGUGGAGGGUCAUUGGAAACUGGUCGACUUGAGUGCAGAAGAGGGAAGUGGAAUUCCAUGUGUAGCGGUGAAAUGCGUAGAGAUAUGGAGGAACACCAGUGGCGAAGGCGGCUUCCUGGUCUGUAACUGACACUGAGGCGCGAAAGCGUGGGGAGCAAACAGGAUUAGA